CAGGCUUAACACAUGCAAGUCGAGGGGCAGCAUGGUCUUAUCUUGCUAAGGCCGAUGGCGACCGGCGCACGGGUGAGUAACACGUAUCCAACCUGCCGUCUACUCUUGGACAGCCUUCUGAAGGGAAGAUUAAUACAAGAUGGCAUCAUGAGUCCGCAUGUUCACAUGAUUAAAGGUAUUCCGGUAGACGAUGGGGAUGCGUUCCAUUAGAUAGUAGGCGGGGUAACGGCCCACCUAGUCUUCGAUGGAUAGGGGUUCUGAGAGGAAGGUCCCCCACAUUGGAACUGAGACACGGUCCAAACUCCUACGGGAGGCAGCAGUAAGGAAUAUUGGUCAAUGGGCGAGAGCCUGAACCAGCCAAGUAGCGUGAAGGAUGACUGCCCUAUGGGUUGUAAACUUCUUUUAUAAAGGAAUAAAGUCGGGUAUGGAUACCCGUUUGCAUGUACUUUAUGAAUAAGGAUCGGCUAACUCCGUGCCAGCAGCCGCGGUAAUACGGAGGAUCCGAGCGUUAUCCGGAUUUAUUGGGUUUAAAGGGAGCGUAGAUGGAUGUUUAAGUCAGUUGUGAAAGUUUGCGGCUCAACCGUAAAAUUGCAGUUGAUACUGGAUAUCUUGAGUGCAGUUGAGGCAGGCGGAAUUCGUGGUGUAGCGGUGAAAUGCUUAGAUAUCACGAAGAACUCCGAUUGCGAAGGCAGCCUGCUAAGCUGCAACUGACAUUGAGGCUCGAAAGUGUGGGUAUCAAACAGGAUUAGAUACCCUGGUAGUCCACACGGUAAACGAUGAAUACUCGCUGUUUGCGAUAUACUGCAAGCGGCCAAGCGAAAGCGUUAAGUAUUCCACCUGGGGAGUACGCCGGCAACGGUGAAACUCAAAGGAAUUGACGGGGGCCCGCACAAGCGGAGGAACAUGUGGUUUAAUUCGAUGAUACGCGAGGAACCUUACCCGGGCUUAAAUUGCAGAUGAAUUACGGUGAAAGCCGUAAGCCGCAAGGCAUCUGUGAAGGUGCUGCAUGGUUGUCGUCAGCUCGUGCCGUGAGGUGUCGGCUUAAGUGCCAUAACGAGCGCAACCCUUGUUGUCAGUUACUAACAGGUUCCGCUGAGGACUCUGACAAGACUGCCAUCGUAAGAUGUGAGGAAGGUGGGGAUGACGUCAAAUCAGCACGGCCCUUACGUCCGGGGCUACACACGUGUUACAAUGGGGGGUACAGAGGGCCGCUACCACGCGAGUGGAUGCCAAUCCCCAAAACCUCUCUCAGUUCGGACUGGAGUCUGCAACCCGACUCCACGAAGCUGGAUUCGCUAGUAAUCGCGCAUCAGCCACGGCGCGGUGAAUACGUUCCCGGGCCUUGUACACACCGCCCGUCAAGCCAUGGGAGCCGGGGGUACCUGAAGUGCGUAACCGCGAGGAGCGCCCUAGGGUAAAACUGGUGACUGGGGC
rnacentral:rRNA from 1 species